GGACCUAGUGGUUCUUCAUUAAAGAACCACUAGACACCAUACAGAGGUUGUGUCAUCAGAGAACACAGCCUGCUCUGUCAGUCAGCUUGCUGUACUUGGUUGUAAUGUGCUACCUAGCUUGUUAUUCCAGUCUCCACACGUUAUCUCAUCCCUCAUGCACACCUUACACAACAGAUUCCCAUGAUAUCACACUCCACACAUUGUUAAUGUUCAAUUAAGCAUUCAAUUAAUUUGCUUUUGUUAAAUAAAUCACUUUUGUUAUACCGUUAA